rnacentral:rRNA from 1 species
GAUGAACGCUGGCGGCGUGCCUAACACAUGCAAGUCGAGCGAUUUACUUCGGUAAAGAGCGGCGGAUGGGUGAGUAACGCGUGGGUAACCUGCCCUGUACACACGGAUAACAUACCGAAAGGUAUGCUAAUACGGGAUAAUAUGCUUUAGUCGCAUGGCUGAAGAAUCAAAGCUCCGGCGGUACAGGAUGGACCCGCGUCUGAUUAGCUAGUUGGUAAGGUAACGGCUCACCAAGGCGACGAUCAGUAGCCGACCUGAGAGGGUGAUCGGCCACAUUGGAACUGCGACACGGACCAAACUCCUACGGGAGGCAGCAGUGGGGAAUAUUGCACAAUGGGCGAGAGCCUGAUGCAGCAACGCCGCGUGAGUGAUGAAGGCCUUCGGGUCGUAAAGCUCUGUCCUCAAGGAAGAUAAUGACGGUACUUGAGGAGGAAGCCCCGGCUAACUACGUGCCAGCAGCCGCCGUAA